GACGAACGCUGGCGGCGUGCUUAACACAUGCAAGUCGAACGGAAAGGCGCGGCUUUUGUGGGGUGCUUGAGUGGCGAACGGGUGAGUAAAACGUGAGUAACCUGUCCUUGACUUUGGGAUAACUUCAGGAGACUGGGGCGAAUACCGGAUAGGAGCUCCUGCUGCACGGGGGGGGUUGGAAAGUUUCGGCGGUUGGGGAUGGACUCGCGGCUUAUCGGCUUGAUGGUGGGGUAGGUAAGUACAAAGGCUUUGACGGGUAGCCGGCAUGGGAGGGUGGCCAGCCACCUUAGUACUAAGGUACGGCCCAGUCUCCAACGGGAGGCAGCAGUCGGAAGUAUUGCGCAGUGGCCGGAAGCCUGAUGCGGCGGCGCCGCGUUCGGAAAGCCGGCCUUCGGGUUAUAAACCGCUUUCGCCUGUGACGAAGCGUUAGUGACGGUACUUGGUAAAGAAGCACCGGCUAACUACGUG
rnacentral:rRNA from 1 species